CUGCAGCCAGUUAAGCCAUCUAUGCUCCUUUCUUUGUGGGGUCUGGUGUGCAAUGGCUACAAACAGCAGCCUCCAUAGUGUAUGUAGCCUGUUGCUUGUAUGGGUUGCCCUAAUGGACCUUGGAGACAGCC